AUGUGUGAGUGCAUCUCCAUCCACAUUGGCCAGGCUGGCGUCCAGAUCGGCAAUGCCUGCUGGGAGCUCUACUGCAUGGAACGUGGCAUCCGGCCUGUUAGCCAGAUGCCAAGUGACAAGACCAUUGGGGAAGGAGAUGACUUCUUCAACACCUUCAGUGAGACAGAAGCUGGCAAACAUGUGCCCAGGGCAGUGUUCAUAGACCUGGAAUCCACAGUCAUCGAUGAAGUUCGCACUGGCACCUACCGCCAGCUCUUCCACCCUCAGCAGCUCAUCACAGGCAAGGAAGAUGCUGCCAAUAAUGAUGCCCGUGGCCACUACACCAUUGGCAAGGAGAUCAUUGACCUUGUCUUGGACAGGAUUCGCAAGCUGGCUGACCAGUGCACGGGUCUCCAGGGCUUCUUGGUUUUCCACAGCUUUGAUGGGGGAACUGGCUCUGACUUCACCUCCCUGCUGAUGGAGCGGCUCUCUAUUGGUUACAGAAAGAAGUCCAACCUGCAAUUGUCCAUUUACCUGCCCCCCCCCCCAGGUUUCCACUGCUGUGAUUGAGCCCUACAAUUCCAUCCUCACCACCCUGGAGCACUCUGAUUGUGCCUUCAUGGUAGACCAUCUAUGAUGUCUGUCGUAGAAGCCUUGACAUUGAGCGCCCAAACUACACUAAUCUUAACCACCUUAUUAGCCAGAUUGUGUCUUCCAUCACUGCUUCCCUCAGAUUUGAUGGGGCUGUGAAUGUUGAUCUGAGAGAAUUCCAGACCAACCUGGUACCCAACCCUCGAAUCUACUUCCCCUCUGGCCACCUAUGCCCCUGUCAUCUCUGCUGAGAAAGCCUACCAUGAGCAGCUUUCUGUAGCAGAGAUCACCAAUGCCUGCUUUGAGCCAGCCAACCAGAUGGUGAAAUGUGAUCCUCGCCAUGGUAAAUACAUGGCUUGCUGCCUGCUGAACCUUGGUGAUGUGGUUCCCAAAGAUGUCAGUGCUGCCAAGCGCAGCAUUCAGUUUGUGGACUGGUGCCCCACUGGCUUCAAGGUUGGCAUUAAUUACCAGCCUCCCACUGUGGUACCUGGAGGUGACCUGGCCAGGGUCCAGAGAGCUAUGUGCAUGCUGAGCAACAGCACAACCAUUGCUGAGGCCUGGGCUCGCCUAGAUCACAAGUUUGAUCUGAUGUAUGCCAAGCGUGCCUUUGUGCACUGGUAUGUGGGUGAGGGCAUGGAGGAGGGGGAGUUCUCUGAGGCCCGUGAGGACAUGGCUGCCCUAGAGAAGGAUUAUGAGGAGGUUGGUGUGGAUUCUGUGGAAGGUGAGGGGGAGGAAGAAGGAGAGGAAUACUAAAUCCA